ensembl:snRNA U6 U6 spliceosomal RNA
AUGCUACGGUAGCACAUAUACUAAAACUGGAACGAUAUAGAGAAGAUUAGCAUGGCCCCUGUGCAAGGAUGACACGCAAAAUCGUGAAGCGUUACCACACAUAU